UACGUAGGUGGCAAGCGUUGUCCGGAUUUACUGGGCGUAAAGAGCGCGCAGGCGGUCGUUCAAGUCGAGUGUGAAAGCCCCCGGCUCAACUGGGGAGGGGCACUCGAUACUGAUCGACUCGAAGGCAGGAGAGGGUAGUGGAAUUCCCGGUGUAGUGGUGAAAUGCGUAGAUAUCGGGAGGAACACCAGUGGCGAAGGCGACUACCUGGCCUGUUCUUGACGCUGAGGCGCGAAAGCUAGGGGAGCAAACGGG
rnacentral:rRNA from 1 species